rnacentral:rRNA from 1 species
ACAUGCAUCUAUUUUUCGGUAGCUUAUCUCAUAAGAACUUCACAGUUAAGCGUGCUUGACUUGGAGUAAUAUAGGGAUGGGUGACCUUCUGGAAAGUUUCUAAGACAAAACAUGCU